GACGAACGCUGGCGGCGUGCUUAACACAUGCAAGUCGAACGGAAAGGCCCUGCUUUUGUGGGGUGCUCGAUUGGCGAACGGGUGAGUAACACGUGAGUAACCUGCCCCUGUCUUUGGGAUAACUUCAGGAAACUGGGGCUAAUACCGGAUAUGAGCUCCUGCUGCAUGGGGGGGGUUGGUAAGUUUCGGCGGUUGGGGAUGGACUCGAGGCUUAUGAGCUGGUUGGUGGAGUAGGGGCUUACCAGGGCUUUGACGGGUAGCCGGCCUGAGAGGGUGACCGGCCACCUUGGUACUGCGAUACGGACCAGAAGCGUACGGUACGCAGCGGUGGGGAAUAUUGCACAAUGGGGGCACGCCUGAGGUAGCGACGCCGCGUGCGGGAUGCCCGCCUUCGAGUGGAAAACCGCUUUCGACUGUGACGAAGCGUGCGUGACGGUAAUGGGUAAAAAAGCACCGGCUAACUACGUG
rnacentral:rRNA from 1 species